rnacentral:lncRNA from 1 species
UGACGUAAGAGUUCCCAACAGCAACCGGGGCUGCCUCUGAGUGACGUCAGCGACUAAACAACAACAAAAUAAACAGCAGCUGGCAGCGCGCGUGAGGAGCGGGGCUUGCUAUGGCUAAUCAGGGUGGAUGCGACAGCCUGGAUGCUUCAGAGGUGGAGCCGGUGGGAAAGAGCGCCGGUACCGGCGAGACUUCCUCCAGAUCACUCAGCUCAGGUGGAGGAGGAGAGAUGGCGGAGAAAGAGGAAGAGCAGCCUUCGAGAGUCCGACACCCUGCAGACACUUAUCCUCUGUGCCGUAUAUCAAAGCUGGUUAACUGGAAAAGACCAUUAUGGACUUCCGCUUUUUUCGCAACUACAAAUAUAGCGUUUUGGUUUGUGUCCCUUAGUCCCAGUCGGUUGUUCAGCCUCGUCUCCAUGUGUGUGGCUCUCUUUGUGAUGAUUCAGUUGAUGAGAGAUGUGGCUCUUUCCAGAUCCAGAGGAGCCGCUCUAUGGAGGAGUAUGACAAGCAGCUGCUGGAUUGCCUCAGCUUGUUCGUUUCUGCUGGCUGCUGUUGAUGCGAGUCCUGUUCCAACAGUUGUCUUCACCCGGAUCUUCACUCUGACCCCUUUGCCCCCUGUCCUCCCAUAGCUUUCUGUUGUGCCCUACUUUUUGUGU